rnacentral:tRNA from 1 species
UUCCUAGUGGCUCAGACAGUAAAGUGUCUGCCUGCAAUGCUGGUGAUCCGGGUUCAAUCCUUGGCUUGGGAA